rnacentral:rRNA from 1 species
GUGUCAGCCGCCGCGGUAAAACGUAGGAAGCGAGCGUUAUCCGGAUUUACUGGGUGUAAAGCGCGUGUAGGCGGUUUGGCAAGUUGGAUGUGAAAGCUCCUGGCUUAACUGGGAGAGGUCGUUCAAAACUACCAGACUUGAGGAUGGGAGAGGGAGGCGGAAUUCCGGGUGUAGUGGUGAAAUGCGUAGAUAUCCGGAGGAACACCAGUGGCGAAAGCGGCCUCCUGGCCCAUAACUGACGCUCAGACGCGAAAGCUAGGGGAGCGAACGGGAUUAGAAACCCUGGUAGUCC